UCCCUCCCAUCUUUCACUUCUGAAUACAUUUGUCAGAGGAGAGGGAUUCGGGCGAUCUUACGUUGGGGAACUAACGGUAUUUCGAUGACUCCUCGAGUUGAUCCCGCAGUGAUAGCGGAUCUAGCGUACGGACACCGCCGGAUGUGGAAUGACAACCCGUUGAGGACGAGAUGUUGGCGCGUUUGGGCAGAAAUGGCAGGAAGCAGGCUCGAUUUAUACCCCUGCAUGUUGCAUCUUUAGAUUUGGAGAGGGAGAAGAGGACUCCUAUUUCUAAAACGGGGUGAAGACAACAGGUGGGCUACAUCUCUGCCUAUUUGGAGCUCUUCCGCUAACUCUAAGUAUAUUCAUCGUCCCAGCUUGAAACGGAUUUCUUGGGGAGUGAAUCAUGGUAGCGUAAAUCAGCAGUGGGUGUUCGGUAGAGCUUCCUCAGUGAGACAUUUUUAAGUUUGGUUUUUUUUUUUUUUUUCCUUUUUCUUAAUUCGAAAUUAUUUUACACUAAAAUUCAGUUACUUGGGAAUUCUUUCAUAUAUAAAAAGUUCGAUUAUUGGGUUUAGAUAACAGAUUAAGGUUUUUUUCUGGCGAACAUUGUAUUUUCAAGGAUGAUACCACAGUGCCCUCAUACAUUUCUGUAUUUUAUCAAGUGUUAUUCUUUACCACUCCACUGCCAUAUUUUGGUUUCUACUUAUGCUGGCAUUUCCACAAAGUAAUUUUGCAUUUUUUUUAAUUGUACAAGUGUAAUUUAAUCCUCAUAGCAAAACAUCCACGAAAUAGAUGUUUUCGAAAAUCUUAAAUGUACAUGAGGCACGGUUUGAGCACUAGUGCGGUUCGAUAACAGUUGGAAUUGCCGGGAUACAACAAACUUGAAGAGAAUGAGGUGAGACGAAAAAUUGUAAGUCAUCAUAAUGUACUCUGUGAACAACAGGUUGAACCAUGUGGCACAUCUGUAAGGCAAUUUCUUCAUUUUGUAUACUUUAACAAUCCAAUUCAUUGUCAUCAUGAACAGCAUCAUGUAGGCAGUGAAAAUGAGGAUGGCCAUCUUUUCAUCUAAAAUUGCAUUUUUCAACCUAUGUUUCUAUCCAUGAUUAUAUAAAAGUUACAUUGGCCAUUCCUAUUCACGUUGAUUAAAAUAAGCAAAUCAUGACAGUUUGUGGAUAUAAUCUAGGUUAUUUGUUGUCAUUCCAUCGUAUACAGUGAAACUUGUCAUAUGUGGUGAUGUUGAAACCCCUAAGAUGACCCAGAUUUAAAGGAAAAAGUCCUGAUUUUUAUUAUUAUAGUAUGUUGGGUUGUAUUCAAGCUCGCCUCAACUACAGAGUACAAUCUCUCUACCUUUCAAACAUUACAUGCAUGACAAUGGCUAUUAAAACCACACACGUGCAUACCGGCAUGUAUGUGGAUUUAUUUAUAAUUUUCUAAGUUACCUCUCUCAAGUUUUUUUUUUUUAUUAUUAUUAUAAAUUUCUAGUUUUCAUCCAUCUCAGCAAUCAAUGCACCCACAAUUACAGGGAACAAAUUAUGGCCACACAUUCAUGUGGGCCCAAUAAUAUCCUGUCAAUGGAUGACAGUCCAAGAUGGGUCACAAACACCUAUCUCUAUCUGUAUGUAGUGAGAGUUAUUGUCUCGCAUAGAUUAAACUAUUAAUGGACCAGGUAGCUGUGAUGGAGUGACUUGAAUGUAGGACGGUUGGCCAUCAUGCUCUUUUAACAUGGGUGUCAUUGAUUCUUAGAAAAUGUUGUGAAUAUGUUCUUGAGAAAUGAAAAUUAAGUGAAAGAGAUUCUGAUUCUGCACUGCUUACAUUAAUGAAUCAACCUGAUAUUGGAGUGGGUCAUCCACACA